UACGAAGGGGGCUAGCGUUGCUCGGAAUACUGGGCGUAAAGGGCACGUAGGCGGUGAAUCGGGUUGAAAGUGAAAGUCGCCAAAAAGUGGCGGAAUGCUCUCGAAACCAAUUCACUUGAGUGAGACAGAGGAGAGUGGAAUUUCGUGUGUAGGGGUGAAAUCCGUAGAUCUACGAAGGAACGCCAAAAGCGAAGGCGAGCUCUCUGGGUCCCUACCGAGCGGGGUGCGAAAAGCAUGGGGAGCGAACAGG
rnacentral:rRNA from 1 species